ACUAUAUACCCAAAGGAACAGAAGCACAAACAUCAGUUGACAUGCUGAUAAACCUCCAAGAAAACUGGAUUACUAAUAAAUAUGGCACCAUGAUUUCAGUGUCCCCGAUAUACUAGAAAAUAUCUCCAGGUCCAAGGGAAGCCACUUAAUACAGGGAAGCAAGUACCUCCAAGAGGGAAGCAACAAACUGCAUUUGCGUUUCUUCAUUGAUUGUCGUGAAGAGAGGGACAUGUACAAAGAGAGAUUUGAUCCCAUGUUGUUCCGCAAACCGGAGAGAAUGAUAGUAGACAUAGUUGCAUACAAAUCGACCAGCAUCAUCAGAAGGAGACACGGCAUAUCCCUUCUUAGCCAAGGCAUUGGAAAUUUCGCUGACGGGGAGAGAACUCUCUCUUGUUCGGGUGAUAAGUCCAUCGGAAGGUACAAUAGGCGCUUUAUUAGGUUUCCAUCCCAGCUCAUCGGGACAACGGAAAGUAGCUUCAUUG
rnacentral:misc_RNA from 1 species